rnacentral:rRNA from 1 species
UACGUAGGCAGCGAGCGUUGUUCGGAAUUACUGGGCGUAAAGAGUGUGUAGGCGGUGUUCCAAGUUCGGUGUGAAAUCUCCCGGCUUAACUGGGAGGGUGCGCCGAAGACUGGGAUGCUCGAGCGUGGGAGAGGAAAGCGGAAUUCCUGGUGUAGCGGUGAAAUGCGUAGAUAUCAGGAGGAACACCAGCGGUGUAGACGGCUUUCUGGACCAUUGCUGACGCUGAGACACGAAAGCGUGGGUAGCAAACAGG